CCUACGGGUGGCAGCAGUGGGGAAUAUUGGACAAUGGGGGCAACCCUGAUCCAGCCAUGCUGCGUGUGUGAAGAAGGCCCUCGGGUUGUAAAGCACUUUCAGUGAGGAAGAACGCCUGGUGGUUAAUACCCAUCAGGAAAGACAUCACUCACAGAAGAAGCACCGGCUAACUCCGUGCCAGCAGCCGCGGUAAUACGGAGGGUGCGAGCGUUAAUCGGAAUUACUGGGCGUAAAGCGCGCGUAGGUGGCUUGAUAAGCCGGUUGUGAAAGCCCCGGGCUCAACCUGGGAACGGCAUCCGGAACUGUCAAGCUAGAGUGCAGGAGAGGAAGGUAGAAUUCCCGGUGUAGCGGUGAAAUGCGUAGAGAUCGGGAGGAAUACCAGUGGCGAAGGCGGCCUUCUGGACUGACACUGACACUGAGGUGCGAAAGCGUGGGUAGCAAACAGGAUUAGAUACCCUUGUAGUC
rnacentral:rRNA from 1 species